CUUAACACAUGCAAGUCGAACGGUGAAGCCAAGCUUGCUUGGUGGAUCAGUGGCGAACGGGUGAGUAACACGUGAGCAACCUGCCCUGGACUCUGGGAUAAGCGCUGGAAACGGCGUCUAAUACUGGAUAUGAGACGUGAUCGCAUGGUCGUGUUUGGAAAGAUUUUUCGGUCUGGGAUGGGCUCGCGGCCUAUCAGCUUGUUGGUGAGGUAAUGGCUCACCAAGGCGUCGACGGGUAGCCGGCCUGAGAGGGUGACCGGCCACACUGGGACUGAGACACGGCCCAGACUCCUACGGGAGGCAGCAGUGGGGAAUAUUGCACAAUGGGCGGAAGCCUGAUGCAGCAACGCCGCGUGAGGGAUGACGGCCUUCGGGUUGUAAACCUCUUUUAGCAGGGAAGAAGCGAAAGUGACGGUACCUGCAGAAAAAGCGCCGGCUAACUACGUGCCAGCAGCCGCGGUAAUACGUAGGGCGCAAGCGUUAUCCGGAAUUAUUGGGCGUAAAGAGCUCGUAGGCGGUUUGUCGCGUCUGCUGUGAAAUCCCGAGGCUCAACCUCGGGUCUGCAGUGGGUACGGGCAGACUAGAGUGCGGUAGGGGAGAUUGGAAUUCCUGGUGUAGCGGUGGAAUGCGCAGAUAUCAGGAGGAACACCGAUGGCGAAGGCAGAUCUCUGGGCCGUAACUGACGCUGAGGAGCGAAAGGGUGGGGAGCAAACAGGCUUAGAUACCCUGGUAGUCCACCCCGUAAACGUUGGGAACUAGUUGUGGGGACCAUUCCACGGUUUCCGUGACGCAGCUAACGCAUUAAGUUCCCCGCCUGGGGAGUACGGCCGCAAGGCUAAAACUCAAAGGAAUUGACGGGGACCCGCACAAGCGGCGGAGCAUGCGGAUUAAUUCGAUGCAACGCGAAGAACCUUACCAAGGCUUGACAUAUACGAGAACGGGCCAGAAAUGGUCAACUCUUUGGACACUCGUAAACAGGUGGUGCAUGGUUGUCGUCAGCUCGUGUCGUGAGAUGUUGGGUUAAGUCCCGCAACGAGCGCAACCCUCGUUCUAUGUUGCCAGCACGUAAUGGUGGGAACUCAUGGGAUACUGCCGGGGUCAACUCGGAGGAAGGUGGGGAUGACGUCAAAUCAUCAUGCCCCUUAUGUCUUGGGCUUCACGCAUGCUACAAUGGCCGGUACAAAGGGCUGCAAUACCGUGAGGUGGAGCGAAUCCCAAAAAGCCGGUCCCAGUUCGGAUUGAGGUCUGCAACUCGACCUCAUGAAGUCGGAGUCGCUAGUAAUCGCAGAUCAGCAACGCUGCGGUGAAUACGUUCCCGGGUCUUGUACACACCGCCCGUCAAGUCAUGAAAGUCGGUAACACCUGAAGCCGGUGGCCCAACCCUUGUGGAGGGAGCCGUCGAAGGUG
rnacentral:rRNA from 1 species